UAUUAAAAUUUUCAUCCGUUUAUUCUGUUAAUAAUUGGUUUGGUUAAUGGAAUAACCAAAUAGUGACACGUGGCAUGUCAUGUGUACCUUAUAUUAGUGUACAAUGACCAAUUUUAACUAUAGAAAUGGAUGAAAUUUUUAACA
rfam:Gossypium raimondii Chr11_contig_924, whole genome shotgun sequence.